rnacentral:lncRNA from 1 species
GGUUGUCCCGCGUAACAUAUUUCAGUUAUUGUAACCACUAAACUAUGAUUUUCGUCAAAACUAUUUAAUAUUUUGAAAAACGUGUUUUUCCAUUAUUAAACAGAAUAGUUCCUCCAGUCCUUUAUGCAUUUUUAUGACGUUAUGAUGACGUCAUAGAAAAAAAACGCGUUCAAUACUAAAAGGGCAAAUCUGUCCCGCGGGAAAAAAAAUUGGGAUUCCAGAUUUGAGAAUCAAAAAAUAUUUAUCUAAAAU